GACACGUUCUUCUUGUCUGGUUAUAUGCUGAUUGGCACACAGCACACGUGACUGGUAUGACCUCUUUCCAGGAAGAAGAUGAGGAAACAGAGCUACCAAGAGACUGAGGAGCUUAUUCCACGUCUCUCAGUUAACAAGACCUCCAGGCUCCAUGCUUUGAACCACCAUGAGUCUCCUUGUGCAGGAAACUUCCCAGUGUCCAAGGUGACAUCUGCUUUCUUCUCACCCAAGGUUCUCCGUCACCUCCUCCUCAUGCCAAAGAGAAGGCACGUUCCCUUUCACCAGGCAGGACACAGCGUGACACCCACUGGAUUCGGAUUUCUCUGGCUUCUCAAAGCAGGAGGGGAGGGGGUUUCCCUGUCAGGCUACGUGGCAUGGCUUUUGGAGAAAAUACAUUUUGCUUUUACCCUUUCUAAAAUUAAAAAUAUCUUUUAAAGGGUUUCAAAAACUUCCAUUUCUUAUGGUGCUGAGUAGGCCUCUUUAGAUUUCUAAUGCAGUCGGGUGUUGGGGAUGACCCUGGUUUUUUGUUUGUAUGUUUGUUUUCUCUGAUCAAUCCAAUGGGGCUUGGACAAUAAAUCCAUGUAUUGUGACCUCUUGGUACAUUUUGAAAUUAUACAUAGGUGGUUU